UACCUGCAGCUCGAGUGGUAACCGCUAUUAUUGGGCCUAAAGCGUCCGUAGCCGGUUUGGUAAAUAUCUGGGUAAAUCGUGAGGCUUAACUUCACGUAUUUCGGAUAGACUGCCAGACUUGGGAUCGGGGGAGGUCAGAGGUACUCCAGGGGUAGCGGUGAAAUGUUGUAAUCCUUGGAGGACCACCGGUAGCGAAGGCGUCUGACUAGAACGAGUCCGACGGUGAGGGACGAAGCCCUGGGGCGCAAACCGGAUUAGAUACCCGGGUAGUCCAGGGUGUAAACAAUGGUGGGCUUUGUAUUGGAGGUUCCACGUGGACGUCCAGUGCAGAAGAGAAGUUGUUAAGCCCACCGCCUGGGAAGUACGGUCGCAAGGCUGAAACUUAAAGGAAUUGGCGGGGGAGCACAGCAACGGGAGGAGCGUGCGGUUU
rnacentral:rRNA from 1 species